ensembl:lncRNA
GUGGAUUAUAUUUUUAUAUCAAUGAAGGUGCAAGCGCGGACGAGAUCGCCGGGUGGUGAGAGUCCCACCUACGGAGGACGCCGGCCCGGGAAAACCCUCGCCCCCGUCUCGGGAAUCCCGCCUCCGCCACGAGUAGGCUACACCGGCAGUCACGCCUCCACAAGCCCCGCACUCAUCCCCUCACAACCCACUCACUUCACCCUUGCACCAAUAAACCACCGUUUGUGAACGUUCUUCUGCCUCCUGUGGCGCUGAUGGACAAGGCCUGUGAUGUGGCAGUGUGCCUCUUUGCUGACAGGGACUGCUUUGAGAAAUGGCACUGCUAAAAGGACACUGACAUUGGAAAAUUGACAGACUGGGAAAAAAUGCCUGUGACUGAUAUGUUUUACUUGUAAAUAGUUCACUAGUUUCUUGUUUCUCAUUUAAGUUUAUAUUUUGUACUUAUGGAGGACUGACCAGACUGAAAAAACACCUGUGACUAAUCUUUUAUUUGUAAAUAGUUCACUAGCAUUAUUUGUUUUUCACUUGUAAAGUUUAGAUUUUGCAUUUAUGGUGUUGAAAAAAAAUCUUUAAAAAAUUAUUUAAUUUAGCUUAUUUUAUUAAUUUAUUAAAUAAAAAUGUGUUUUUAAUAGGCGUUUUUAUCUUAUUUGUGGGUUGUGGAAGCACUUUGUAAUUAUGGACCGCAAACCUUCCAACAAGGAGCAGCAGGGAACAUAAUG